CUUGGUCAUUUAGAGGAAGUAAAAGUCGUAACAAGGUUUCCGUAGGUGAACCUGCGGAAGGAUCAUUAUUGAAUAAAUCUGAUAAGUUGUUGCUGGUUCUCUAGGGGGCAUGUGCACGCUUGUCAUCUUUAUAUUUUCUCCACCUGUGCAUCUUUUGUAGACCUGGAUACCUUUCUGAUUGCUAGUCACUCGGGUAUGGGGAUUGACUUGAUGGUCUCUCCUUACAUUUCCAGGCCUAUGUUUCUACAUAUACCCAAUUCUACGUUAUAGAAUGUAAUCAAUGGCCUUUGUGCCUAUAAAAUAUUAUACAACUUUCAGCAACGGAUCUCUUGGCUCUCGCAUCGAUGAAGAACGCAGCGAAAUGCGAUAAGUAAUGUGAAUUGCAGAAUUCAGUGAAUCAUCGAAUCUUUGAACGCACCUUGCGCUCCUUGGUAUUCCGAGGAGCAUGCCUGUUUGAGUGUCAUUAAUAUAUAUCAACCUUUUCAACUUUUGUUUGUUGAGUGUUGGAUGUGGGGGGGUUCUCUUUUGCUGGUCUUUCUAAGGUCAGCUCCCCUGAAAUGUAUUAGCGGAACAAUUGUAGACCGUUUAUUGGUGUGAUAACUAUCUACGCUAUUAACGUGAAGCAGUUCAGCUUCUAACAGUCCAUUCAUUUGGACAAAUUCUUAUUAAAUGUGACCUCAAAUCAGGUAGGACUACCCGCUGAACUUAAGCAUAUCAAUAAGCGGAGG
rnacentral:rRNA from 1 species